UGGUCAUUGCCAAGCCUUUGAGAAGGCAGUUUCUCAUUUGCUGUGGACAUGACCAUGAAGUUUCAUCCCCAUAGGUCUUCUUUCUACUACAUUGGUAGCAUUCAGCCUAUUGGGAACGUUG